rnacentral:misc_RNA from 1 species
UUGUCCAAACCUACAAACAUUGUUAUUAAGUGACGAAAGAUCGCAAUUGGCUAGCCAGAAGGAGUCCUCAAGGGAAUGAAAACCCUUAAAGUUCUUCAUCUUAAACGUCGCUCAGAUGCCUUUCCUCCCGGAACUCAACAUUUUUUCAUAAGUCAUAACUCAACAUUUGGUCUUAAACGUUCUAUACGUGAGAACUCAACAUUUGUUCAUCUCACAAAUCUCCGGACACUGAUUCUCCAAUAUUAUGGAGUGGGUGAUAUCAGUGCACUUGGAGAACUAAAGUUGCUACAAAUUCUUAGCUUCAAAAGUAGUUUUUUUUAUAAAGCCUGCAAGUGCAAUAAGUAAGUUGACUAGUCUAAAGUUGCUGGAUUUG